UAUUGAGUCUAAAACGUUCGUAGCCGGUUUGGUAAAUCUUUGGGUAAAUCGGGAGGCUCAACUUUCCGACUUCCGAAGAGACUGCCAAACUUGGGACCGGGAGAGGCUAGAGGUACUUCUGGGGUAGGGGUAAAAUCCUGUAAUCCUAGAAGGACCACCGGUGGCGAAGGCGUCUAGCUAGAACGGAUCCGACGGUGAGGGACGAAGCCCUGGGUCGCAAACGGGAUUAGAUACCCCGGUAGUCCAGGGUGUAAACGCUGCCGACUUGGUGUUGGAGGCCCUUCGGGGGCAUUCAGUGCCGGAGAGAAGUUGUUAAGUCGGCUACUUGGGGAGUACGUCCGCAAGGAUGAAACUUAAAGGAAUUGGCGG
rnacentral:rRNA from 1 species